rnacentral:rRNA from 1 species
GACGAACGCUGGCGGCGUGCUUAACACAUGCAAGUCGAACGGAAGGGCGCUGCUUUUGUUGGUUGCUCGAGGGGCGAACGUGUGAGUAACACGGGAAUAACCUGCCCUGUACGUGAGGAUAACUUCAGAGAACUGGGGCUAAUACCUGAGAGGAGCUCCUGCUGGAUGGUGGGGUUUGGAAAGUUUCGGCGGUUGGGGAUGGACUCGCGGCUUAUCAGCUGGUUGGGUGGGUAGUUGCUUACCAAGGCUUUGACGGGUAGCCGGCAUGAGAGGGUGACCGGCCACAUUGCGACUGCGAUACGGAGCAGACUGCUACGGGAGGCAGUAGUGGGGAACAUUGCACAAUGGGCGGAAGCCUGAUGCAGCAACGUUGCGUGCGGGAUGACGGUUUUCGGGUUGUAAACCGCUUUCGCCUGUGACGAAGCGUGCGUGACGGUAACGGGUAAAGAAGCACCGGCUAACUACGUG